rnacentral:rRNA from 1 species
UUUUAUUUAAUUAUUUAGUAAUAAAUAAUUUUUGGUUUAUUUCGGUAAUUUAAAUAAACUAAAAUUAGGCUAAUAUUAGCCUAAGAAAUAAAUCUUAAUGAGAUUUACUUACUCUAAAAAGGUAAAGGUAUUCUUAGGGAAGGUUUACCUUUAAAGAGAUACUUAUUAAGGUUAGGCAGGUUUGCCUAAUAAUUUAUGAGAUUAAUAAAAGAUAUGUCUUUUAUUUAUGAUAAUUUAUUAUCCCAACAAGUGUAAGAUCAGUUUUACUGAAUAAAGUUCUAGGUGGAAAACUGAUGAUGACAAUUUUCCAUCUAUAUGUCUUGACCAAAUUACGUGCCAGCAGUCGCGGUAAUACGUAGAAGACUAGUGUUAUUCAUCUUUAAUAGGUUUAAAGGGUACCUAGACGGUAUAAUUAGUCUUAAACAGGAUACGGUUAUACUAGAGUUAUAUAUAAGGAGGCGAGUAUUUAUGGAGUAGAGUUGAUAUUCUUUGAUACCUUAACGACUGAUAACGGCGAAAGCAACCUCUUAUCUAAUAACUGACGUUGAGGGACGAAGGCUCGGGUCACGAACAGGAUUAGAUACCCUAGUAGUCCAAGGCAGAGAAUGAUGAAUGCCAUAGGUUAGAUAUUAUUUAGUCUAUAAAUGAAAGUGUAAGCAUUUCACCUCAAGAGUAAUGUGGCAACGCAGGAACUGAAAUCAUUAGACCGUUUCUGAAACCAGUAGUGAAGUAUGUUAUUUAAUUCGUCAGUACGCGAAAAACCUUACCACAACUUGAAUAUUAUUUUUCUAAUUUAUAUAUUAAAAAAAUAUGUAUUUUAUGAGAUAUUACUAAGCGUUGCACGGCUGUCUUCAGUUAAUGUCGUGAGAUAUUGGUUAAUUCCAUUAAAUUAACGGAAACCCUUGCUUUAUUUACGAU